rnacentral:rRNA from 1 species
UACGAAGGGUGCAAACGUUGCUCGGAAUCAUUGGGCGUAAAGCGCACGUAGGCGGCUUUCUAAGUCGGAUGUGAAAUCCCUCGGCUCAACCGAGGACGUGCAUCCGAAACUGGGAAGCUCGAGUAUGGAAGAGGGUCGCGGAAUUCUCGGUGUAGAGGUGAAAUUCGUAGAUAUCGGGAGGAACACCAGUGGCGAAGGCGGCGACCUGGGCCAAUACUGACGCUGAGGUGCGAAAGCCAGGGGAGCAAACGGG